GAUGGAAGAGAUCAGUGCCUAGGGCCCAGCAGGAAAACAGGUGGCCAACCAGAGAGCUGGAAUGGGGAGCAGAGGGAUUGGGGAGCCUGGGGUCUGCAGCAGUGAGAGGUGGGCACAGAGCCAGCCUGGGGGGUGAAUGGCACAGGACACUAGAGAGGCAGGACAGGCCUCACGACUAUUGCCACACAUUCCUUCUGCCUCUUGGCUUGGGUUUAGAGAGACAAGACUCAAGAGCUGGUGGAGGUUGGCAGUGUGGAAGGCAGAGGCUUGGAGACCAAAUUGGGAUGAGGAGAGAGACAUGGGUUCCCUGACACCCUCACCUCUGUCAUCUUGGUCUCAUUUUUACUGCCUUCCUCCUCACCCUUCCCAACUCACCUCUCAUCGUCUCUCACUCUCACUUUUAUAAAAAGAGGAGCAAACAGUGGCUUGGUCACACUCUCAGUAUUCUCUCACAAACAUUUUUUAUUCUUUAUAUGACCAGUCUGAGAC
rnacentral:lncRNA from 1 species